GCAAAGAAUAGGCUUAAUAGAGGUUAAAGUGACCCGUACCGCAAACCGAAACAGGUGGGGGGGGGGAGUAUCCUAAGGCGAGCGAGAGAACGGUUGUUAAGGAACUCGGCACAAUGACCCCGUAACUUAGGGAUAAGGGGUGCCACCAGCAGGUGGCUGCAGAGAAUAGGCCCAAGCGACUGUUUACCAAAAACAUAGGUUUCUGCUAAGUCGAAAGACGAUGUAUAGGAGCUGACGCCUGCCCGGUGCUGGAAGGUUAAGGGGAUCUGUUAGAGCAA
rnacentral:rRNA from 1 species